CAGCCUUAGGUCGACCCGCUGAAUUUAAGCAUAUCACUAAGCGGAGGAAAAGAAACUAACAAGGAUUCCCCUAGUAACGGCGAGUGAAGAGGGAAAAGCCCAGCACCGAAGCCUGCGGCAGUUUUGCUGUUAGGCAAUGUGGUGUUUAGGUCGGUUCGUGGGACUGUCACUCCACUCGAAGUCCAGCAUUGAGUAUGGCUCUAUAUGUCCCAGAGAGGGUGAAAGGCCCGUACGAGUGGAUGUUGCAGAAAUGUAAGACAGUUCAUCAGGCCGUCCUUCGAGUCGGGUUGUUUGAGAAUGCAGCCCAAAGUGGGUGGUAAACUCCAUCCAAGGCUAAAUACGUGCACGAGUCCGAUAGCGAACAAGUACCGUGAGGGAAAGUUGAAAAGUACUCUGAAGAGAGAGUAAACAGUACGUGAAGCCGUAUAGAGGUAAACGGGUGGCGUCAAGCUGCAAGCCUGGAGGAUUCAGUUGGUCAUCGUGUUGUGUGUAUGCUUUGGUGCGUCAGCCAGGGAUAGUUUGGGUAGUCCGCUGGGAAACAGUGGGCCCGGCCGCAAGGUUGGGAUGUAUGAACCACACGUUUGGUGGUGUACGCUACUCGGCUACGGGGCUGGAUGACCAGUGCACUUCCUCCAUAAAGGUGAACACCACGACCAGUGGAACUGCCAGUCUGGCGUAACCAAGUUGUGUUCAGUGCGGCAUUCGUGUCAACUGGAUGCAAUCACAGGCAUUCUCAGUGGACGGUGGGCUUGCCCAUGUUAUCGGUCACUGGAUGUCAGCAGGUCUGCCCUAGGUGUUUGCAGUGCGUGAUGGGUGGCCUGGUGGGUUGCGUUGGUACUUACAACUGUGCAGGGCACUGGAGUUAACGGCCUCAAAUCCGUGUUGAUGCGCACACUGCAAGUGUGAAAAGGUGGCGUUGGUGCAGCCUGUCGUUGGCUGGGUCCGGUUGCCGUGUCGCCUGCACAAAGUAGGUCCGGUGAUGGCCUGGCUGCGGUCGGUGUUGCUGCUAGCGUUGCUGUGUGUCAGCCGGUGUUGGUCUGAAAGUCUGUGGUGUAGUGGUAGACGAGCUACCCGACCCGUCUUGAAACACGGACCAAGGAGUUUAACAUGCACGCGAGUCAAUGGGGACUUCCGAAACCCAAAGGCGAAGUGAAAGUAAAGUCUCGACUUGUUCUCGAGGCGAGGUGAGAUCCUGGCGUUACUCGCACUGCUUUGUUGGCUCAAGGCAAAGAGCGUCAGGCGCAUCACCGGCCCGUCCCAUGAUGUGGUCAUUGGUAGGCUGUGGUUGUGACUUCGGUUGUGGCUAUGGCUCCAGUGCGUCAUCGGGGCGGAGCAUGAGCGUGCAUGUUGAGACCCGAAAGAUGGUGAACUAUGCAC
rnacentral:rRNA from 1 species